CCCUGGGUGGCUCAGUUGGUUGAGCAUCUGACUUCGGCUCAGGUCAUGAUCUCGUGGUUUGGGGGUUCGAGCCCCGCAUCGGGCU
rnacentral:tRNA from 1 species